rnacentral:ncRNA from 2 species
AUAAUUCCUCAUGAUGCGGGUGCCGAUACGGCAUAAGAGGGAAUCCCGUGAAAAGCGGGAGCGGUCCCGCCGCUGUGACCGGGGACGAAAGCUGCUUGAGCCACUUGUCCGGAAGACCGGGCUGGGAAGGCGCGGCAAGUAGGAUGAUCCGGGAGCCAGAAGACCUGCCCACAUCAGAGACCGGCA